UCAAGGGGAAACUAGGUCAGCACCAAAACCUGCCACAAAAAUCCAUUCUCUCACACUUUCCUCCACAUGCAAAGCAACCUAUCCUAAAUGAUCUGGCACUUUAUCCAAAAACCAUGAGCACCUUCACUAAUUCUACAGCUCUCAUCCAUGUCAGCCAGAGCUUCACAGCCCCCCAAACUCACCUUUGCAACAAACCCUCCAUCCCCAUAAUCCGAGCAUCGUUUCCAUCCCAGCAAAAUGAUGAUGUGAUGACCACCAGUACCAACCGGAGAAAACUUGUCACAACAAUUCUGGCUACUCCACUAGCAGCACUGGGGCUGCAUGGCACCUCGGUGGCAGUAGCAGAGAAUUGGGGCACGCGUUCGUUUCUCAGGGAACGGUUUUUCGAGCCCGGGCUGUCGCCGGAAGAUGCUGCCGCUAGGAUUAAGCAAACUGCUGAGGGGUUGCAUAGCAUGAGAGAGAUGUUGGACAACAUGUCAUGGAGGUAUGUCAUGUUUUACAUUCGACUAAAGCAGGCUUAUCUUUCUCAGGAUUUGAAGAAUGCUAUGAGCACAUUGCCCCAAGCUCGAAAGGAAGAAUAUGUGAAAACAGCGAAUGAAUUGGUAGAUAACAUGGCUGAGAAACAAAUAUGAUGCCCCAAAUCAAUGCUCAUUAUCCUCACCGUGUCAAACAUGACCAAGAUGAUCCGACUGCUUUUGGCUGCUCUCCUGAUAAUGUGGUAGAAAGAUAGGGGAAGAGAAAGCACAAGAUAGGCACAGGCAACUGAAUUGGCGAUCACAAAGAACCUGUCAAAUAUAGACAUGCCAACCAAGUAAAUUAGAUCACUAUAUUCGGCAUUCAAUAGGAUGGAUUGAGGGAAUAAUGGAACUGUUUCUUCAGUAGUCCCCAUGGCCAUAGCACUCCCUAGUGUUCCUGCGGCAGCAAGGAUUCUCAGCAUGAAGUCUAGUACAGCAACCACACUGAUCAUCAAUUUUGCCGGGGUUGCAUCACUGGAUGAUUCACCAGACUCAAGUGGUCCUGUCUUCAUUCCCUUGGUGAUUUGUGUUGCCUUCUUUGAAAAUCUCCAAAAUUUAGAAUAAUUUUGGCUGGAACUACUUGCUAGAUAGAGCAGAGUGAAAGAUAUGUACAUUUAUACAAACUUCAAGGCCAUUGCAAAUCUGGAUUUUUCUCUUAGAAUUAUCCACCAGUAAAAAACAAUCAAAGUGGGAAUUAGGUUAAUUUGCUGACCUUGAGAUAAUUGGCAUUUGCUUCUGUAACA